rnacentral:rRNA from 1 species
UACGAAGGGGGGCUAGCGUUGCUCGGAAUUACUGGGCGUAAAGGGCGCGUAGGCGGAUAUUUAAGUUAGAGGUGAAAGCCCAGGGCUCAACCCUGGAAUAGCCUUUAAUACUGGAUAUCUUGAGUUCGGGAGAGGUGAGUGGAACUCCGAGUGUAGAGGUGAAAUUCGUAGAUAUUCGGAAGAACACCAGUGGCGAAGGCGACUCACUGGCCCGAUACUGACGCUGAGGCGCGAAAGCGUGGGGAGCAAACAGG